GACGAACGCUGGCGGCGUGCUUAACACAUGCAAGUCGAACGGUGAAGCGCCUUCCUUUUUGGUGGGUGUGGAUGAGUGGCGAACGGGUGAGUAACACGUGAGUAACCUGCCCCCUUCUUCUGGAUAACCGCAUGAAAGUGUGGCUAAUACGGGAUAUUCUGCGUCUGUCGCAUGAUGGGUCUGGGAAAGAUAUUGUUUCGGUGGGGGAUGGGCUCGCGGCCUGUCAGGUUGUUGGGGGGGUGAUGGCCUACCAAGGCGGUGAGGGGUAGCCGGCCUGAGAGGGUGGACGGUCACACUGGGACUGCGACACGGCCGAGACUCCUACGGGAGGCAGCAGUGGGGAAUAUUGCACAAUGGGCGCAAGCCUGAUGCAGCGACGCCGCGUGAGGGAUGGAGGCCUUCGGGUUGUGAACCUCUUUCGCCAGUGAAGCAGGCCUGCCUCGUUUGUGGGUGGGUUGACGGUAGCUGGAUAAGAAGCGCCGGCUAACUACGUG
rnacentral:rRNA from 1 species